rnacentral:lncRNA from 1 species
GCCAGCGUUCACUUGAUUAGAUCUCCAUUCUUGUGGUUCCCAGCCAGUGCCAUCCGGGGAGAGCCUGAAUCAGAGAGGCCGCAGCCAGCGCAGGCAGCACCUGUGUUUACCUGGCUCCACCGCCCGUUUAGAGCGAGCGGCGGCGAGGGGGGAGGCAGGAGGGGGCUCGCCCCGCGCCCGGGGAGGCCGGCUGCUGAGCCCGGGCGCUCCUCUGCCUCCAUCGGCGGGGAGGCCGUCUGCGCCUCGCCGGAAGCGCUGGCAACCAGAGCCUCUCACAACCCCCGGGGUGCCUUGACCUUGCUGCGCCGCGCUAGCUCAGCCGCGGAAUGAUCCUGCCUCCUCGGCCCCAUCAGAACUGCCAUUUUCUGGAUGUCAUACUGUCGAGGAAGGGAUGGUGGUGACAAAUAGCCUCACAUAAAAUAUAAAUCAAUAGGCUGAGAACAGAUGAGACAACCAUAAUCUACUGAUCCACUAAUGUGGUUGGUGGACUCUGUUCCUUCAUUCCUCAGAC